CCCAGCAGCCAUAUCACACUGCAGCUCACAGCUGGCAGCCCACUGAAGCUCAGCAGGUGUGAGCCUGGUCAGUACCUGGAUGGGAGACCUCCUGGGAAACGCUAAGGUUGCUGCUGGAA
rnacentral:rRNA from 1 species